AUAUCUCCCAAGCUAAUCUCUGUUCUUCUCAGUGUGAGAUCUGCUCUGCUCUCCGUUGGAGAGCUGGGUGUUCAAUAGGCUUUUUGAGAAAGGGAAUUGGAGUAGGGGCUUGCUCUGCCCAUUCCACGCACCAGCCUGGUAGUGCAGCGCUGCCAGGAGCGGUGCCUCUCCC
rnacentral:snRNA from 1 species